rnacentral:rRNA from 1 species
GGGACACGUGGUAUCCUGUCUGAAUAUGGGGGGACCAUCCUCCAAGGCUAAAUACUCCUGACUGACCGAUAGUGAACCAGUACCGUGAGGGAAAGGCGAAAAGAACCCCGGCGAGGGGAGUGAAAAAGAACCUGAAACCGUGUACGUACAAGCAGUGGGAGCACGCUUAGGCGUGUGACUGCGUACCUUUUGUAUAAUGGGUCAGCGACUUAUAUUCUGUAGCAAGGUUAACCGAAUAGGGGAGCCGAAGGGAAACCGAGUCUUAACUGGGCGUUAAGUUGCAGGGUAUAGACCCGAAACCCGGUGAUCUAGCCAUGGGCAGGUUGAAGGUUGGGUAACACUAACUGGAGGACCGAACCGACUAAUGUUGAAAAAUUAGCGGAUGACUUGUGGCUGGGGGUGAAAGGCCAAUCAAACCGGGAGAUAGCUGGUUCUCCCCGAAAGCUAUUUAGGUAGCGCCUCGUGAAUUCAUCUCCGGGGGUAGAGCACUGUUUCGGCAAGGGGGUCAUCCCGACUUACCAACCCGAUGCAAACUGCGAAUACCGGAGAAUGUUAUCACGGGAGACACACGGCGGGUGCUAACGUCCGUCGUGAAGAGGGAAACAACCCAGACCGCCAGCUAAGGUCCCAAAGUCAUGGUUAAGUGGGAAACGAUGUGGGAAGGCCCAGACAGCCAGGAUGUUGGCUUAGAAGCAGCCAUCAUUUAAAGAAAGCGUAAUAGCUCACUGGUCGAGUCGGCCUGCGCGGAAGAUGUAACGGGGCUAAACCAUGCACCGAAGCUGCGGCAGCGACACUAUGUGUUGUUGGGUAGGGGAGCGUUCUGUAAGCCUGUGAAGGUGUGCUGUGAGGCAUGCUGGAGGUAUCAGAAGUGCGAAUGCUGACAUAAGUAACGAUAAAGCGGGUGAAAAGCCCGCUCGCCGGAAGACCAAGGGUUCCUGUCCAACGUUAAUCGGGGCAGGGUGAGUCGACCCCUAAGGCGAGGCCGAAAGGCGUAGUCGAUGGGAAA